rnacentral:tRNA from 1 species
GGAGAGGUGGGUGAGUGGCUGAAACCAACGGUUUGCUAAACCGUCAGACUGGGUCACACCGGUCUCCCGGGUUCGAAUCCCGGCCUCUCCG